rnacentral:rRNA from 1 species
AUUGAACGCUGGCGGCAGGCUUAACACAUGCAAGUCGAGCGGGGGAAGGUAGCUUGCUACCGGACCUAGCGGCGGACGGGUGAGUAAUGCUUAGGAAUCCGCCUAUUAGUGGGGGACAACAUCUCGAAAGGGAUGCUAAUACCGCAUACGUCCUACGGGAGAAAGCAGGGGAUCUCGGGACCUUGCGCUAAUAGAUGAGCCUAAGUCGGAUUAGCUAGUUGGUGGGGUAAAGGCCUACCAAGGCGACGAUCUGUAGCGGGUCUGAGAGGAUGAUCCGCCACACUGGGACUGAGACACGGCCCAGACUCCUACGGGAGGCAGCAGUGGGGAAUAUUGGACAAUGGGGGGAACCCUGAUCCAGCCAUGCCGCGUGUGUGAAGAAGGCCUUAUGGUUGUAAAGCACUUUAAGCGAGGAGGAGGCUACUUUAGUUAAUACUUAGAGAUAAUGGACGUUACUCGCAGAAUAAGCACCGGCUAACUCUGUGCCAGCAGCCGCCGUAA